rnacentral:lncRNA from 1 species
UACUCAAUUCUACAACACAUUCAUGCUGAUUCAAGCUAUGGCAACACACAAGACAAUGCAAUAAACAAAACAUGAGAUUCUGGGACUCUAGACACCACUCACAGCACAAUAAAUAAAGACACAAGCUCUUAUUAAGGGUUAGGAGGUUUGCUUACAAACAGGAGAUCCGAGCUGAUCUCUUGAACCUCCAUGGGCACGGUUCACUUGAACUUGGCAGGUUUGAGGCUUGGAUUCAGUAUCCAACACCUCUCCUUGGUGUGCCCAUCCCUCUUGCAAUGCUCACUCUCCAAGCAUCUCACACCAGAAGCUUAUUGAGUAGCUUUCUUCUUCCCUCUACUUCAGCUGGAUCACUCCAUGAUCAGCUUGCAAUGGUCUUGGUUUAAAUUGCAUCACCCUCCUGGUGAUGCUCUUCUUUGUAUGUCGACUGUCCUCUCUACACUCAUCUGAUGUGUAGGCUAUGGUGACUAAACCACCAUGGACAGAACCACAAGUCAUCUCUCCAUUGUCACAACAUCCUCUCUACCCUCUUUGGAGCAGGCUGUGGACUUCCCACAGAAUGUUGGCAACAGGCUUCAUUUUAUCAUUCUGUUGUAGUGAUAAGGAGGAAACAUGUCUUGAACUUUAGCUCUUCAGGUUGGUCAUUUGAAUCCCCACCACAAGCUUGAGACCGAGAAUGGGGGAGAUCCAAGCUUGAAAUGAGCCUCAAUGAACUUCAAGACCAGGAGCACAUCACCCUAACAGCUGCGCUUAAAUCACUGAUCCACCCUUUUGCCUUCAGCUUCAAGUACCCUCAGAUCACCGGCCUUCCUCAUGGCUUAGGUGGUGACCUUCUUCUUCUUGUGUGUCUUGAACCAGGAGCUCAACAACCUCGUGGCCUGCGCUUCUUAAACCGGCUUCUACACACAAGAACCUUCCCAUUGCUCCACACAAUGGUUGGUCUUCCGCUUGUAUGUCUUGAACCAGGAGCUCAACAACCUCGUGGCCUGCGCUUCUUAAACCAGCUUCUACACACAAGUAUCUUCCCAUUGCUCCACACAAUGGUUCAAGUCUUCCUCUUGUCUUGGAUAGGUGGUGAGCAAAGAACACUUCUUGUGAACCUGAAACACCACUCAAACUCCAGCAAAGAUAAGACACAAGAGUAUUGGGAUCAAUCCUUGAUUAAUCAUCAAGUUUGAUUCCCAAUCUCACAAGCAUUGCAACAGAUUAAAACAAGUCAUUUUCAAGUUCUAUCUUUGCAAGCAAUCUCUCUAAGCACAAGCAUUUUCUUUUUCAGUUUAUGCAAGCUACUUAGGCAUUUUAAAGCUUCUUUACUCAGCAUUUAGACAUGAAUCUCAUGCUUCAAUGUAAGACAGCCACAAGACUAUAUGCAACAGCUUUCAAUUCGGUUUCAAUCCAUGUAUGCAAGCAGAUUCAAUCAAUCACAACAAGCAUCAUUAUGAACCGGAGAUAAGCAUAUUAACAUACCUAGUAAUCCUAGUAAUACUGUUAAAUUACUAGUCUUUUUAAAGCACUUACACAACUGCUAGUAAACUUAGUAUAACUAGUACAAUGAAAGGAUUACUAGGGAACCAAGCUCUUUAAGCAUCCUGGGACAGAUUCUAAAUUCAUUUUAUUUCAUUUAAUAAUCUUUUAAACAGUCCUCAGGUUUUCAAUCACAUCACAACAUCACAACCAGUCAACAACACAAGCUCAUUAUCAAGAUGGUGUAUAGAAUCGCUUACAACAAGGAACCAGGUUGAUUCCUUUUGCAUUUUGUGAAACCGGCCAUGACUGUUGUUGGAACUGAGAGUCUAGAUCAUCACCCACCUCCUUCUCCUUCAGUUCAUGGCCACCAUCUUGUACCAUCAACUCAAAAGAUCCCUCCUUUCUUCAGAACAUCUAGGCGCCAAGCUCUUGACACCAUACUCUUUUUAGCCUGAUGUGAAACUUCUCUUGAACAAGGAGCUUUGGAGUCAGGUUAGUUAGGCCUCUCCAUACACCUUUGCCUCCAAGGAUAAUCUCCAUCUGAGCAGGUAGAGAACAGGAUGAGGAACCAAGGAAACUCGCCAAGCUUCAGCCUUCUUCUUCAUAAGGGACUGAACUGGAUGGGAAAGCGUCAAUGGCUUGAUUUUGAGCUGAGGCGUGAGCUGUGGACUUGCGGAAGCUUCAGCUCAGGUUCUGAUGAACCUGGCUCUGAUACCAUAUGAGAUUUGUAGAGUUCUCUUCUCUGGUUGUAUGUGUGUGUAUAAACUCCAGUGGAGAAAGAUGAGAGCUUGCUCUAGGUAAUUUAGAAAGAGAGAUUGGUGAGAGUGUUUAUGAGAGAAUAAGAGACUUAGGAACAGAGAUUAAGAGACUGAGAGAUUAGGAGAGUAAGAGAUUAAAGAUUAGGGUUUCAGAUUCAAGAACAAGUUUAUCAUUCAUGAAGUGGAGAGGGGAAAUCCCCCUUACUCCCUUAAUUCUAUUACAAACGACAUUACUUAGCUUAUAUAUGAGUUUCACACAACUCAGAUCAUAAACCUAGAUCCUAAGGCUGUAAAUACAAGAUAGAAUGGAUGGUAAGGAUGAGAGAAGACUGGUCUUGAUGUUCUGGUUCUUAGCUGGCGACUUGAUCCAAUGUAAAGGGCUUAGAUUGCUUCAUUUGAAUUGAAUGGAUAGGAUGAGUCAAGGCUGUAAAGGUAAAGCACCUUUACCUUUCCAGCUCAUACCAACAGCUCACCUUAUCCAUUUGAAUCUUCCCUUGCCUCUCCAAGAGUCUCCAACGGUCACAUGAUUCAACCUAAGUCGCGCCCACACAUUGCACAACUUGGGCAAGGCUGAUCCGGGUAAUGGCCGUACUGGAUAGGUUGUACGGACGCUGUACGGCCUUGAGGUCCGUACACUCGCCCUAUCUUUGCACCAUACUUCCAUCUUCUCUCUAACUCCUCCAAAACCUUCACAUGAUCAGUAUAAGUCUUUCCUAGACUUAACUUCACAAGAUAACUACUUCAGAACACUUCUGAAGCUUGAUUGAACUCUUCUAGACAUCUUCUAGAGCUUGCCCUAUUAUUGUACAAGCUCCAUCUUCUCUUCAGUUCAACAAUCACAGAGAUAAUCCUUGCAAACAGAGAAUCAAAGACUCGAUCUGUAUCAAGGUUUGUGGAUUGAUGUGGGACACAAGAGAGAUGGCUCGCCUUCUGAUACUCCAAGGCUUCUGAUCUGGAUAUGACACACCAAAUCAGAGAACCCAAGCUGGAUAUUACACACCAGCUGAAUUGAGAGAAAACUCAAAACAAAGAAGUUGAAAAAAAAAUGUCGAUUGAUUGAUCUCCAUGCCAAAACGUGGCUACAUAUGUUAAAAGAAUAAAACUGAAAACCCUAAAUUUAAACCAAGAUGGUUUAAUCUCCUAAUCCAAUUCGAAAUUGGUUAAUUUUAAAUACUAAUCUACCCAAAUCUGGUUUACUCUAAUUCCUAAUUGUCUUUGGUUUAAAUUAAAUGAAAGCCCAAUAAACUAAACCCAUUACAUUGCAAUUAAAUCAAACCAACAAGGUGGUUCUUCUUUGGUUUAUGAUGGGCCACGACUUGAACUUGAUUUGGAGUGUCUCCUAAUGAGCUUUAGAUCCUCCACGUCCUGUUAGGCCAGCUAGAAAGCAAGUGGAUCAAGAUUCUGGCUGCAACUCUCUUUUUGGACCGAAAAAGCCUUAUUUCGUCUAGAUCCAAAUAUAGCCCAAUCCAGAAACUUCCUGACAUGUUUUCCUUGUUCUCCAUACAUAUUUGUAUUGAGAUGAAGACCAAGGAGAGACAGUAACUGUAGAGUUUUACUGUGGUAACUUUAUUUUAACCACAGUAACUACUUGGGAAGUUAUCUGAUGAGAUGAGAAGGUAACUUAGUGAAGAGAAGAGGGUAAACUCGACCUAAGAGGAUAAGGAAGGAUAAGGGAGCACUUUGACAGCCUGUAUGAUGCUGGAAAGGAGAGGAUGCUUUUACACUAGUGCAAGCAUGUGAGAAAGCACAGCCAAGUGAUUCAAAAGGAGUUCCAGCCUGUCCUUUGACUACACAUGCUUAUACAUUUCGAAAUCCCUUGUUGCUCUCUCUUUAUAUACUUGUAAACCCUCAUCAGUUAUUAAUUAAUGGAGUUUUGAGUCUCUCUCUCUAUUCUCUCACUAAAAUCUCUUAAUCUCUUUAAUCUUUUCAUCUGAUUAUCCCUGAUUAGUUGAAUCAUGCUCUAAUACACAAAAGUGUAUAUGGUAUCAGAGCCAGGUUGCUAAAAAGGGGAGAGUGUGAUUUCGUUUUUUCAUAAAGUUCUUGAGUGUUCUUGAGUGUUCUUGGUGUUCUUGAGUUCUGGUCUUUAUUAUCUGAGUGGUGUGAGAUAUUCUGAUGGAUUCAAACUAUCUCAACAUGGAAAUGAAGCACAGAUCUAGUACAACCAUGGAGCUUGAAGAAGAGAGGGAGGGCGAUUGGUCAAGAUGGGCAAAGAGAGCUUUGGAAAGCUGUGGGUUAUGGAGUAGUCAUGGAAAGGGGAAACCUUUCACGGAAAUGGCUACUGAAGAAGGUCAGCCAAGAGGUCUGAAGCUGGGAAAUGAAGUUGUUCAAGGAAACACUACAAAGAGUGAGAUUGAAGCAACUUUAGGCAAGUCUAAGCUUGUGAGAGUCGUUGAGGACAGAGGGGUGAUCCGCGGCUUGAGACAAGGAAAGGAUGAGUGUUAUCAGCUUGUGGGAAGGCUGAGAGAAGUAUGGUCAGAGCUAGAUGUGGUGAAGACACACACAUCAAAUCCGAGAUGUUGUCAAGAAAGGAGGAAGCAAGAUGUGAUCUUCAGCUUCCUUAUGGAAGAGGUAUGUGAACUUGUUAAAUAUACUUGUGUGUGGGAAAUGAACAGGAAGCCAGAAAGAUGGAAGGGAGGUACAAGCUGUAAGAAGGGAAGGUUGAGAAAACUUUCUAAGGAGUGGUUAAUGAAGAGAAGGGCAUGGAGAAAGUAUAGCGAGUCUGGGCACUUAAGUGACAGGAUGAGUGUGAUCUUGAAGAGAAUCAAGGAUGUACUUCAGCAGAUGGUUAUAGGAGAGUGUUCAUACUCAGCUUACAUGGGAGAAACAGUAGGAGACAGUGCGGAUAUGAGAGGAAUGGAUACCAAGAGGGCAGAUGAGUGUGUGACAAAGAAGGAAUGGGAUGAGUUGGUUAAGCAUGUGUAUGCUUUGGCUACGACCCGGAGUCAGGGUGCUCCUGCCAAAGCAUCCACAUCUAAACCCAUCAUCAUUGACUCUGGAGCAACACACCACAUGAUCAGUGACAAGAGACUAAUCAGUGAGGUUAAAGCAGCAACAGGGAGUGUCAUGAUAGCCAAUGGUACCAGGAUCCCAAUAGAAGGAGUGGGAAACCUCAAGCUGUUUGAGAAGAACUCCACUGCCUUCUACCUACCUCAGUUUACAUCCAAUCUAAUCUCAGUUAAGAAGGCUACAGUUGAUCUGGAUUGUCAAGUGGUUUUCAGACCAAAUGAAGUUGAGUUCCAGGAUUUGAAGACUGGAAGGGUUAUUGGCAGAGGAGACAGCAAGCAUCAGCUCUAUCAUCUCCAAACAACUGAGGCGCCUAGUCCUGUGGAGUCUGUGUGUUUAAGCAGCACAACGGAUAGGUGUGAUAAUCUCACAUGGCAUGCAAGGCUGGGACAUCCUCAUGCCAAGGCAAUUGAACUGAUUCUACCAAGUAUGGCGUUCAAUCACUUGGAGUGUGAAGCUUGUAUACUUGGAAAGCACUGUAGGACUGUCUUCCCAACAUCAGAAACCAGAUAUGAGAAUUGCUUUGAUCUGGUGCAUUCAGACGUGUGGACAGCUCCCUGUAUGUCUAGAGACAGCCAUAAGUACUUUGUGACUUUCAUUGAUGAGAAGUCAAAGUACACAUGGAUCACCAUGAUUCCCUCCAAAGACAGAGUCCUAGAAGCCUUCAUGAACUUCCAAGCAUAUGUUACUAACCAGUACAAUGCCACUGUGAAGAUUCUGAGGUCUGAUAAUGGAGGAGAAUAUGCUUUCAAGAGUCAUCUUGCAAAGCAUGGGAUUGUGCAACAAACUAGCUGUCCCUACACACCACAACAAAAUGGGGUGGCUGAGAGGAAGAACAGACAUUUGAUGGAGGUUGCGAGAUCAAUAAUGUUCCACAUGAAUGUCCCUAAGAGGUUUUGGAGUGAUGCUGUUCAGACUGCUUGCUAUCUCAUCAAUAGAGUGCCAACCCGUGUCUUGAAGAAACUGUCUCCCUUUGAAGUAUUGAACAAGACCAAGCCACACAUUGAUCAUUUGAGAGUCUUUGGGUGCUUAUGUUAUGUGAUGAUUCCCGGAGAAAGAAGGAACAAGCUAGAAGCAAAGAGUACUAAAGCUAUGUUCAUUGGGUACUCAAUCACUCAGAAAGGCUACAAAUGUUAUGAUCCAAUAACUAGGAGGGUUAUGGUAUCUAGAGAAGUGAAGUUUGUUGAGUCUAAAGGGUAUUAUGAGGAGAAGAAAUGGGAAGACCUAGAGGAUCUGUCCCGAGCUCCAUCAGAGAAGGCAACAACAUUGAGAGUGUUGUUGGAGAGGCUAGGGAUAGGAUUAUCCCAAGAUCAGGAACCAGGAAGAACAGGACCUUCUAAUCAAGCUGGAGAAGCUGGAGGAACAACCCCUCUUGAUCAUGAGAGGGGGAAUGGAUCUGAAUCAGGGGAGCAGGAGCAUAACCAAGAGGAUUCAGGUCAGCAUGAUCAGGAGGAGACACAGGAAGUAGAGAGUGAAGCUCAGUCAGGUGGAAAUGAGCAGGGAGAACCUACUGGUUUAAGAGAGGAAGCACAAGAGAAUGUUCAGGCUGAAGAACAGGUUGAGACCUUGCGGAGGAGCACAAGGAUAAGGAGGGAUCCUUCCAACUGGGUAAACACGAGAGUGUACUACAAUGCCCAGGCUGUGGAGCAUCCCUCUCAAGCCGUGUGUUCCUUUGCUGAGUUUCCAGAAGAGCACAUGGUGUUUAUGUGUAACUUGGAUGAGAAUGAGAUACCAAGAUCUUAUGAGGAAGCUAUGAAGCACAAGGUUUGGAGAGAUUCAGUAGGAGAUGAAAGGGAUGCAAUGAUCAGGAAUGAUACUUGGUAUGAGAGUGAGUUACCUAAAGGGAAGAAGGCAGUUUCAAGCAGAUGGAUCUUCACCAUCAAGUACCUUGCAAAUGGGGAGAUAGAUAGGCGCAAGACUAGGCUGGUUGCAAGAGGAUUUACACAGACUUAUGGGGAAGAUUACAUUGAUACUUUUGCACCAGUGGCCAAGCUUCACACAAUUCGAAUUGUGUUAUCUAUUGCAACAAACUUGGAGUGGGAUUUGUGGCAAAUGGAUGUGAAGAAUGCUUUCUUGCAAGGUGAACUUGAAGAUGAAGUAUACAUGCAUCCACCUCCUGGUCUUGAGCAUCUAGUAAAGCCAGGGAAUGUUUUGAGAUUGAAGAAAGCAAUAUAUGGGUUGAAACAGUCACCUAGAGCUUGGUACAGGAAGCUGAGUACAACACUCAAUGGGAGAGGCUUUAGGAAGUCUGAACUAGAUCACACUCUCUUCACCUUGACAGGACCUUCAGGGAGCAUUGUGAUUCUAGUGUAUGUGGAUGAUUUGAUUAUCACAGGAAGUGAUAAGGCAGGGAUUCAGGCUACUAAGGAGUUUCUCAAAUCUGUGUUUGACAUCAAGGAUUUGGGAGAGAUGAAGUAUUUUUUGGGGAUUGAGAUAUGCAGAUCUAAGGAGGGUUUGUUUAUGUCUCAAAGGAAGUACACUAUGGAUAUGCUGAAGGAGACUGAUGUGCUUGGAGGAAAGAUAGCUAAGACACCUCUUGAGGAAGGGUAUAAGGUCUUGCGUGAGGGGGAGGUUGAAGAGAACCAGUUGUUUGAGGAUGCUAAGCUGUAUAGGAGGAUGGUGGGUAAGCUGAUCUACUUGACUAUCACCAGACCUGAUAUAUGCUUUGCUGUGAAUCAAGUGAGCCAACAUAUGCAGGCGCCAAAGGUACAUCACUGGAAGAUGGUUGAUAGGAUACUAAGGUAUUUGAGUGGCUCGCAUGGACAAGGAGUUUGGAUGGGUUGCAAUGGCAGUACAGAAGUGGUUGGGUAUUGUGAUGCUGAUUGGGCAGGAGAUAGAGUGGACAGGAGAUCAACUACUGGGUAUUGUACAUUCAUUGGAGGGAAUCUGGUUACUUGGAAGAGUAAGAAGCAGAAGGUCAUCUCCUGUUCAAGUGCUGAAGCUGAGUAUAGAGCUAUGUUGAAGCUUACAAAUGAGUUAGUGUGGAUCAAGGGUAUUUUGAAGCACUUGGAGAUCGAGCAGACCACACCUAUGACAAUGCAUUGUGACAAUCAAGCAGCUAUCCACAUUGCUUCCAAUUCAGUGUUUCAUGAGAGAACAAAGCACAUAGAAGUGGAUUGUCAUAAGGUGAGGCAGAUGAUUAUCUUGGGAGUGAUUCUGCCAUGCUAUACAAGAAGUGAAGAUCAGCUUGCAGAUGUGUUUACUAAGGCAGCGAGAUUAAAGACAAUGGAGUCCAUACUAUCAAGGCUUGGACUCAUUGAUCUUACUCCCAGGAGCUGAGCCCCUUAACCAUGGAGUCUCCACUCUUUUUCCCUCAUCAAGGUUUUAUCCCAAUGGGUUUUACUUGGUGAGGUUUUUAAUGAGGGAGGUCUUCAUGGUUUCCAAGCUUGACUUGUUCUACAUGGUCAAGCUUGAGGGGGAGUAUUGAGAUGAAGACCAAGGAGAGACAGUAACUGUAGAGUUUUACUGUGGUAACUUUAUUUUAACCACAGUAACUACUUGGGAAGUUAUCUGAUGAGAUGAGAAGGUAACUUAGUGAAGAGAAGAGGGUAAACUCGACCUAAGAGGAUAAGGAAGGAUAAGGGAGCACUUUGACAGCCUGUAUGAUGCUGGAAAGGAGAGGAUGCUUUUACACUAGUGCAAGCAUGUGAGAAAGCACAGCCAAGUGAUUCAAAAGGAGUUCCAGCCUGUCCUUUGACUACACAUGCUUAUACAUUUCGAAAUCCCUUGUUGCUCUCUCUUUAUAUACUUGUAAACCCUCAUCAGUUAUUAAUUAAUGGAGUUUUGAGUCUCUCUCUCUAUUCUCUCACUAAAAUCUCUUAAUCUCUUUAAUCUUUUCAUCUGAUUAUCCCUGAUUAGUUGAAUCAUGCUCUAAUACACAAAAGUGUAUAAUUUGGACGAGGUGAAUGGUAUCCAUAGCUCCUGUUAAGCUCAGUUGGUUGAAUCCUCUUUGUUCAAGCUGUUUCAAGGCAGUACCAACAGUUCUUCUCUUCUCUCUAUCCAGAACCUCAUAGAUCAUGCCAAUAAGAGUAUGAUAUUGUCCAUUAAACUGCACCAUGAUCAGUCGUAUAGCUGACCCAUACAUUGGCUUCAAUCCAUUGAUUCCAAUCCUGAUCAGGAUCACACCAACCAGUCAACCAUUUGAGCACAUUUGAAGUUGGUGCAAAAAUAGGGCACUGGUGAAACUCUUAAGAGAAGAAGACAAAGGAGAGGAUGGCGAGUGACAGGCUGGAAAGGAGAGUCUCUUGCUGUAAAGUAAAAGCAAAAGGAGACCAUGUAUCUAGCAAAAGAAGUGGGCAGAUUCAUGGGAGCCUUUAGCUAGCCAAUAAGGAGCCAGCCUUCCCUUGACCAGAUUCAAAUGGACCAAUUAUCCAUCAGGAACAGCACAGCCACGACCAAGACCAUCUCUCCAUCUCAUCCAUUCAUUUAAAUUCAAGUUAUAACAGCCCUUAGAUUUAGGUUUAUGAUUGCAAGUUGUAAAGAGCAUAUAUAAGCUCAUAAGUGAUGUUUUGUAACUCUUAAGUGAGUAAGGGGGUUUCCCUUCUCCUUCUCUAAUCUGAAACACUUUCUUAGUCUCUCUAGUCUCUCAUCCUGAAUCUCUAUACACGUUCUCAGUCUUGUUACUAAUCUCUUAAACACUUAGACACACAAACACUCAUCAAACUUCCUUUCUCUCAAAUCGCUUCCAAGCUCUCUCUCUUUACCCAUUUGGGUUUCAUACACACAUACAACCUGAGUACUCUUAAAUCUCUAUGGUAUCAGAGCCAGGUUCAUUAGAACUUGGUUCCAGCUUCUGCUAAGCUCAAAGCUCACUCCCAUUCCAUUUCCAAACCAAGAAGAAGCUUCAUGGUCAUUUGGCUGUUCAACCUCUUCAAGAAGAAGGUGUGCUCAUCAAUGGCGUCCAGAAGCUGUUCUUGGUCGUUCUCCACUCUCUCAUGGUCGUCCUGAAGAAAGAAGGCCAUUGGAAGCAUGUCCAAGCCAUUCCCAUUCACUGUCCAAGAAGAAAGGUGAAAGCUUUCAACUUGUACCUGGUAUGGCGACUCAAAAAUGAAGAGAGGAGGUGUCUUAGGCAUGGUGGGUUCAAGAGAAAGGUCCAUGAAAGAAGGAGAUGUAGGAGUUGACACCAACAGCUCGGAUCUUCCCAUGUACUAAGGAGUUUCAAGGAACUAACACUAGUUCCUUGGCUGUAAGGAAAUCUCUUUCUCUUGUAUAAAGCUUGAGUGUAUGAACAGGUUGUGAUGUUGUGAUGUGAUUGGAAACCUGAGGAUUGUUUAAAAGAUUGCUAAAAUGAAGUUGCUUUAGAAUCUGUCCCAGGAUACUUUAAGAGUCUUGUUUGGGUAUUGAAAUUGUUUAGUAUGCUUAGCUCCGGUUCAUAGUGAUGCUUGUUGUGAUUAAUUAAAUCUGCUUGCAUACAUGGAGUGAAACCGAAUUUGAAGCUGUUGCAUAUAGUCUUGUGGCUGUCUUACAUUGAAGUAUUAGAUUCAUGUCUAAGUACUGAGUAAAGAAGCUCUUAAGAGUGCCUAAGUAACUUGUCUUGAAUCUGUUAGGAUCUUACUUGUACUUAGAGAUUUAGCUUGCAAAGAAUAGAACUUGAUAAUGCCUUGUGUCUAUCUGUUGCAUUGCUUGUGAUAUUGGGAAUCAAACUUGAUAAUUUAUUAAUCAAGAUUUGACAUCAAUACUAUGAAAAUGGUUAAAUGCUUAAUGUCAGUUCUAAAUUAACUUGUCUUGUUAAGAUGAUAGAUUAUAUUAUCUAAUCAUGCUUGCUUUCAUGAGUUAGAAACUGAUUAAGAUUAAUGCAUACUGCCUUGUAUUGUUGCAUUUAGAUUAAAAUCUAAGUUGCAUAAAAUUGCCUAAAUACUUUGACUUGAAUCUGAUAAGGUCUUGCUUAGUAUUUAGAGAAUGGUUGCUUGCAUAGAUAAGAACUUGACAUUGUCUUGAUUCUAUCUAAUGUUAUAAAGCUUGAGACAUUGGUGAUCAAACUUGAUGAAGUCAAGGAUUGAUCCCAAUGCAAUUGUGACUUAUCUUUGCUAGAGUUUGAGUGAUGUUUCAGGUUCACAAAAGGUGUUCCUAGUUCAUCAUCAAAUCCGAGUUGAAAGAGAAAGAAUGAUGCCCAUUGUGUGUACAAUGGAGAAGUGUUACAAAAAGGGAGAAGCACAGAUGGUUGUAAAACUCACUGGUGUUCUUCUCCUUAACAUUGCAAGUACCUGAAGAAGAAGCUAACCGGGUCUAGGCAGUGGCGUGCCUAUUCAAGAGGGUGCUCAAACUAAGACAGAGCACUCUUGGCUGUGUGAAGAAGAAGGCUACUCUAUCAAGGCGGCUUCUAUUGUGAGGUGAUUGAAGAAGUAGCUGAAGCAUCCACAAGCAUUCCAUCAUGGUGGCAAAUUCAGAAGGGUGAUUGCAAUAAGAGAAGAAGAAGAAGUGAGGAUUCAAGUGGCAACGACCACUCCUCAUCACCUUAAACAAGGGAGUAAACCUAGUCUCAUCUAUCUUAAUAUGUCUUGAUAGGUUUAUCUCCUGAUUAUACUAUGUGCUUUUCCUAAUUCCAUUAAGAGUUUAUAGCUUCUAAGUAGAAUGUCUAGGCUAAUUGCACUGAGAUUGUUUUGCUGCUGCAUUGUCUUAUUGAUAGUAAGUAAUGUCUAGAGUCCCAGAAUCUCAUGUUCUGUUUAUUGCAUUGUCUUGAGUGUUGUCAUAGCUUGAAUCUUCAUGAAUGUGUUGUAGAAUUGAGUAGAAUGUCUCUGCUGCUUGCAUCAUGAUUGAUAAGUUAUUUUGCAUACUUAGCAUAUCUCAUACUGUCUAAGUUCAAUCCUAGUGUUAUCUGAUGCUAUUGCCUAUGUUUAAUCCAUCAAUGAAAGUCUUGCAUCAAUUAGAAAUUGUCUAAGUUGCUUGCAUCAUUGGUUCUGAUUGAAACUGUUGUGCAGAGCUUUAAUAUUACUCAUGGAUUGAACCUGUUGCAUUCAUAUAGCUAAUGCUUUAAGAUUGUGCAUUCAUGUAGUAAUGCAUUUAAAAAUGAGCCUAAAUUGCAAAUGUACUGAUAUAAGCUUUGCAUUUAGAGAACUGUAUAGAACUUGCAUUGUCAUUGUUAGAAAUUGAAAUCUGCUUGUCUUGACUCAGUCCAGUUCUGAUUGUUGCUAUGCCAUAGUUAAAUCCAUCAGUGAUGUAUUAUAAGCAAAUAGUAGUAUGUCUAAGCUACUUGAAUCAUUGGCUUUGAUAAAACUAGUGAGCAUAAGCAUGAAUUGAGUCACUCUUGUCGUCUUGAUUGCAUAAGUAUCAUCUAGACUUGUGUUCCAUUUGGAUUGAAUCUGUUUCAUUCAUAUAGUUAGUGUGUAACCUAAUGCAUUCAUCUAUUGUUGCAUUUAAAAAAAAAAAAAAACAAAACUGAAUUGAUUGUCUUUGCUUGAUUGUCUUGAUUGUCUAGCUUGUCUCAAGUAUCCUAUAUUAUUGUGGCAUUGGUGAUCAAACAGGAUGGAUAAUCUUGGUUUGAUCCCAAUGGGAUGAUCUGAUCUUGCAUUGAGUUGUGGUGGUGUUAGGUACACAAGGAAUGUGAUACAUGAAACUCGCCAACAACCAAGAAUGUAAAGACAAAGAUCUUGUGCCAUUGCAUAUCAUCACUAGGACAUGUUAGUCCAUAAUCUACAGGAAGUGUAGUGUGAUUGAGUAUGCAAUGAGAGAUGGCCAUUGCAUAAUACCAUUGGACAUAUCUAGUCCUUAGUCUACAGGAAGUGUAGCAUGGGUCAUUAUGCAAUGAGAGGCGUGUCUUGUGAGACUCUCUAUGGUGAUUCAAACACCCUAAUUCCUGGUUAAGGAAGAGAGAAAACUCACAAGAAGAAAGCUAUCAUAAAAGAUGAUAGUUAUUAGACCAUGGAGAUGCAUAGGAUCAUCACAAGCUUAGCUCCUUCUAGUCUUGGUUCUAAGCUUGAGGGGGAGUCUUAAUGCAUAUGAUCCAUGGUCAGUAACAAGUCUUUGCAAAGGCUUCUACAAGGAUCAUCAACCGGACCAAGAUAGUGGCGUGUCUAGGCAAGAGGCUGUUCAGAGCAGUCUUGGCGAGUGAAGAAGAACGCUCUCCAUCAAUGCGGCUUCAAUGAGAGGUGAUUGAGGAGAAGCUGAUGAAUCCAUUCUGCCUUUCCAAGAAGUUGGUGAUGCCAUGAAGAUGGUGCAUUGGCCGAGUUAGGAAACUCACAAAAACACAAGGGAAGUUCCCUUAGACUUUUAAAACCUUUUUAUUCAUCUUAUUCAUUGCUUGUGCUUGAAAAGAUACGUAAAAUGAUUAUGAUUGAAUUGUGAGAUUGUGUGCAUCAAGUGUGAUGCAGGAUAUUCAUUUUCUUGUUUUUGAUAGGUACUGAUGCACCUUUGGGAUAAUGUAUCAGGUACCAUUGCUUGAGCCUCACUAAAGGUGUUCCUGGUCAUUUCUAGCUUCUCUAAGGUGGCUGUGAAGUCUGUUGAGAGGGGGAGAUUCAAACCAGUUCUAUGAAGAGGGAAGCCGUGUGUGAAGUGUUGAUCAACCUCACUGGUGUUUUGAAGAUGAUCUGGUCGUGUCCUAGCUUCUCUAAGAUGGCUGAGAAGUCAGUUGAGAGGGGGAGACUUCAAACCGGUUCCAUGAAGAGGUGAAGCUGAAGUGUGAAGUGUGCGCAAAGCUGUGAAGAGUUGCUGCACCUAUUAGGCCGUGAUCCAGAGCUUCUUGUGUCCAACCACACUGGUUCUAAGGCACAAGAGCUCACUGGCCAAUCCCUAGGCUUUGGAGAGCUCUACUCUUUUUCCCUUGCAAGGUUUUGUCCCAAUGGGUUUUCCUUGUAAGGUUUUUAAUGAGGGAGACUCUUCAGAGUUCCAAGCUUGGCUUAGGAUCUCCUAAAGUCAAGCUUGAGGGGGAGUGUUGAACUGAAGAGAAGAUGGAGCUUGUACAAUGAUAGGGCAAGCUCUAGAAGAUGUCUAGAAGAGUUCAAUCAAGCUUCAGAAGUGUUCUGAAGAAGUUAUCUUGUGAAGAUAAGUCUAGGAAAGACUUAGACUGAUCAUGUGAGGGCUUUGAAGGAGUUAGAGAGAAGAUGGAAGUGUGGUGCAAAGAUAGGGCCAAGUCCAGGAGGGACUUAGAAGAGUAUUUGGGCGAGUGUGCAAACUUAGGGACUGGCUGUACGGAUUUGGUACGGACGUUGUACGGACCGUACGGAUCCGUACGGACCGAGACAUCCCGAAAGUUCACCAGUCAACCAUUUGAGCACAUUUGAAGUUGGUGCAAAAAUAGGGCACUGGUGAAACUCUUAAGAGAAGAAGACAAAGGAGAGGCUGGCGAGUGACAGGCUGGAAAGGAGAGUCUCUUGCUGUAAAGUAAAAGCAAAAGGAGACCAUGUAUCUAGCAAAAGAAGUGGGCAGAUUCAUGGGAGCCUUUAGCUAGCCAAUAAGGAGCCAGCCUUCCCUUGACCAGAUUCAAAUGGACCAAUUAUCCAUCAGGAACAGCACAGCCACGACCAAGACCAUCUCUCCAUCUCAUCCAUUCAUUUAAAUUCAAGUUAUAACAGCCCUUAGAUUUAGGUUUAUGAUUGCAAGUUGUAAAGAGCAUAUAUAAGCUCAUAAGUGAUGUUUUGUAACUCUUAAGUGAGUAAGGGGGUUUCCCUUCUCCUUCUCUAAUCUGAAACACUUUCUUAGUCUCUCUAGUCUCUCAUCCUGAAUCUCUAUACACGUUCUCAGUCUUGUUACUAAUCUCUUAAACACUUAGACACACAAACACUCAUCAAACUUCCUUUCUCUCAAAUCGCUUCCAAGCUCUCUCUCUUUACCCAUUUGGGUUUCAUACACACAUACAACCUGAGUACUCUUAAAUCUCAUAUUCUCCACCACUUUAUGUAUCCAAAUCAAGCUUCUCACAAAGUGAUUCAUCCUGGUUUGAUUGGAACGACGAUGAAGCUGUGCUAUUUCCAAACUGGGAAACUGGAAUCACCUGAUUUGAAAGUGGGAUAACUUCUUCAUCCCAGCUCCUAUGAGAUUUAUUUAACUUCCUGGUGAUUCUCCACCACUUUAUGUAUCCAAAUCAAGCUUCUCACAAAGUGAUUCAUCCUGGUUUGAUUGGAACGACGAUGAAGCUGUGCUAUUCCCAAACUGGGAAACUGGAAUCACCUGAUUUGAAAGUGGGAUAACUUCUUCAUCCCAACUCCUAUGAGAUUUAUUCAACUUCCUGGUGAUUCUCCACCACUUCAUGUAUCAAAAUCAAGCUUCUCACAAAGUGAUUCAUCCUGGUUUGAUUGGAACGACGAUGAAGCUGUGCUAUUCCCAAACUGGGAAACUGUAAUCACCUGAUCUGAAAGUGGGAUAACUUCUUCAUCCCAACUCCUAUGAAAUUUAUUCAACUUCCGGGUGAUUCUCCACCACUUUAUGUAUCCAAAUCAAGCUUCUCACAAAGUGAUUCAUCCUGGUUUGAUUGGAACGACGAAGAAGCUGUCCUAUUCCCAAACUGGGAAACUGGAAUCACCUGAUUUGAAAGUGGGAUAACUUCUUCAUCCCAACUCCUAUGAGAUUUAUUCUACUUCCUAGUGAUUCUCCACCACUUCAUGUAUCAAAAUCAAGCUUCUCAAAAAGUGAUUCAUCCUGGUUUGAUUGGAACGACGAAGAAGCUGUGCUAUUCCCAAACUGGGAAACUGGAAUCACCUGAUUUGAAAGUGGGAUAACUUCUUCAUCCCAACUCCUAUGAGAUUUAUUCAACUUCCUGGUGAUUCUCCACCACUUUAUGUAUCCAAAUCAAGCUUCUCACAAAGUGAUUCAUCCUGGUUUGAUUGGAACGACGAUGAAGCUGUGCUAUUCCCAAACUGGGAAACUGGAAUCACCUGAUUUGAAAGUGGGAUAACUUCUUCAUCCCAACUCCUAUGAGAUUUAUUCAACUUCCUGGUGAUUCUCCCCCACUUUAUGUAUCCAAAUCAAGCUUCUCACAAAGUGAUUCAUCCUGGUUUGAUUGGAAUGACGAUGAAGCUGUGCUAUUCCCAAACUGGGAAACUGGAAUCACCUGAUUUGAAUGUGGGAUAACUUCUUCUUGCCAACUCCUAUGAGAUUUAUUCAACUUCCGGGUGAUUCUCCACCACUUUAUGUAUCCAAAUCAAGCUUCUCACAAAGUGAUUCAUCCUGGUUUGAUUGGAACGACGAUGAAGCUGUGCUAUUCCCAAACUGGGAAACUGGAAUCACCUGAUUUGAAAGUGAGAUAACUUCUUCAUCCCAACUCCUAUGAGAUUUAUUCAACUUCCUGGUGAUUCUCCACCACUUUAUGUAUCCAAAUCAAGCUUCUCACAAAGUGAUUCAUCCUGGUUUGAUUGGAACGACGAUGAAGCUGUGCUAUUCCCAAACUGGGAAACUGGAAUCACCUGAUUUGAAAGUGGGAUAACUUCUUCAUCCCAACUCCUAUGAGAUUUAUUUAACUUCCUGGUGAUUCUCCACCACUUUAUGUAUCCAAAUCAAGCUUCUCACAAAUUGAUUCAUCCUGGUUUGAUUGGAACGACGAUGAAGCUGUGCUAUUCCCAAACUGGGAAACUGGAAUCACCUGAUUUGAAAGUGGGAUAACUUCUUCAUCCCAACUCCUAUGAGAUUUAUUUAACUUCCUGGUGAUUCUCCACCACUUCAUGUAUCAAAAAAAGCUUCUCACAAAGUGAUUCAUCCUGGUUUGAUUGGAACGACGAUGAAGCUGUGCUAUUCCCAAACUGGGAAACUGGAAUCACCUGAUUUGAAAGUGGGAUAACUUCUUCAUCCCAACUCCUAUGAGAUUUAUUCAACUUCCUGGUGAUUCUCCACCACUUCAUGUAUCAAAUCAAGCUUCUCACAAAGUGAUUCAUCCUGGUUUGAUUGGAACGACGAUGAAGCUGUGCUAUUCCCAAACUGGGAAACUGGAAUCACCUGAUUUGAAAGUGGGAUAACUUCUUCAUCCCAACUCCUAUGAGAUUUAUUCAACUUCCUGGUGAUUCUCCCCCACUUUAUGUAUCCAAAUCAAGCUUCUCACAAAGUGAUUCAUCCUGGUUUGAUUGGAAAGACGAUGAAGCUGUGCUAUUCCCAAACUGGGAAACUGGAAUCACCUGAUUUGAAAGUGGGAUAACUUCUUCAUCCCAACUCCUAUGAGAUUUAUUCAACUUCCUGGUGAUUCUCCACCACUUCAUGUAUCAAAAUCAAGCUUCUCACAAAGUGAUUCAUCCUGGUUUGAUUGGAACGACGAUGAAGCUGUGCUAUUCCCAAACUGGGAAACUGUAAUCACCUGAUCUGAAAGUGGGAUAACUUCUUCAUCCCAACUCCUAUGAGAUUUAUUUAACUUCCUGGUUAUUCUCCACCACUUUAUGUAUCAAAAUAAAGCUUCUCACAAAGUGAUUCAUCCUGGUUUGAUUGGAACGACGAAGAAGCUGUCCUAUUCCCAAACUGGGAAACUGGAAUCACCUGAUUUGAAAGUGGGAUAACUUCUUCAUCCCAACUCCUAUGAGAUUUAUUCUACUUCCUGGUGAUUCUCCACCACUUCAUGUAUCAAAAUCAAGCUUCUCAAAAAGUGAUUCAUCCUGGUUUGAUUGGAACGACGAAGAAGCUGUGCUAUUCCCAAACUGGGAAACUGGAAUCACCUGAUUUGAAAGUGGGAUAACUUCUUCAUCCCAACUCCUAUGAGAUUUAUUCAACUUCCUGGUGAUUCUCCACCACUUUAUGUAUCCAAAUCAAGCUUCUCACAAAGUGAUUCAUCCUGGUUUGAUUGGAACGACGAUGAAGCUGUGCUAUUCCCAAACUGGGAAACUGGAAUCACCUGAUUUGAAAGUGGGAUAACUUCUUCAUCCCAACUCCUAUGAGAUUUAUUCAACUUCCUGGUGAUUCUCCCCACUUUAUGUAUCCAAAUCAAGCUUCUCACAAAGUGAUUCAUCCUGGUUUGAUUGGAAUGACGAUGAAGCUGUGCUAUUCCCAAACUGGGAAACUGGAAUCACCUGAUUUGAAUGUGGGAUAACUUCUUCUUGCCAACUCCUAUGAAAUUUAUUCAACUUCCGGGUGAUUCUCCACCACUUUAUGUAUCCAAAUCAAGCUUCUCAAAAAGUGAUUCAUCCUGGUUUGAUUGGAACGACGAUGAAGCUGUGCUAUUCCCAAACUGGGAAACUGGAAUCACCUGAUUUGAAAGUGGGAUAAUGGUGUAGCCAUGAGUAGAGAUAUUGGAGAGCUGAGUGAGUCUGAUGAGGGAGAGCCAGACUUGAGAAGAGAAAAGCCAGACUUGAGCAGAGAAGAGCCAGACUUGAGAAGAGAAGAACCAGACUUGAGCAGAGAAGAACCAAAUGAGCUAGCCAGCUUGUGGAGUGGACCAGUAACCAGAUCAAGACUGAGAGCACAAGAGGAGAGGCUCCAGGAGAUAGCCAAAACCGUGGGCCUUGGUUCAAGGCAAGGAGAUCAAGAUAAACCAGCUUGUUGGUUUAAUUUAAUUACUUUGUAAGGGUUUGGUUAUUGGGCUUUCAUUUAAUUUAAACCAAAGACAAUUAGGAUUAGAAUUAGAAUUAAACCACCUUGGUUUAGCAUUAGGGUUUUCGAUUUUACUUUAAGAACAUGGGGGCUGCAGCUUUGUUUUCUCAACUUUCAAUCUAAGAAUUAUUCAGUCAACUUUGUUGUCUUGUCUCUAGCUUUCUCUGUUCAGCUCUAGAACAUUGAUCUCACUUAAAGGAAGGAAUUCCUGUGAAUCCCAUCUUAGACAAUACAAGGUGAUGUUGUGUCUUUGAGUAGCAAACCAUCCUUGGCGCCAACCCACAGGCUCAGGGAGACGUUCAUAGUUCAAAGGAGAGCUAGUAGCCUCUUAGAACACCCUCUAUCCAUCCACCUUCAAGUGAUCCAGAGUCUAAGCCAUACCCAGGCUGCACCAAGUGGUAUCAAAGCCACUUGAAGGUUAGGGUUUGCAAUUUGACUACUCAGAUCAUUCAUUCCAUCAAACACUUCUCUUAUCUUUCUAUCUGUUGUAAGCCAGCUGAGCCAACCCUGCAAAUCAAAAAAAAAAAGAAAAGAAAAGAGAUCUCUGAUCCAAAUCAAAAAAAAAAAAAAUAGCUGAAGAGUAAUCCAGCUAGCUGAGGAGAAAUCCAGCUCAGGGUGGUAAAGUCAGCUGGUGCCUAAAUCUCUUAAUACUUCCUAUCUGAUUCAUUGGGGUUUUAGUUCUAGAUCUUAAGUGUAGAACUUUGUUUUUCAACUGAACUUGUGGGAAGAGCUGAGACUUGGCGAUUUGAAAACUUGAGUGAGAGAGAGAUAUAAUUUUGUUCCUGGCUUUGUGUUUUCUCUAACUAUUUCAGGAACAAUGAGUGAAGAGAGGCGAGAUGGAAAGCAACCUGAGAGUUCAGGAGAACCGGCUGUCCAGCAAAUCAACCUCAACCAAGUUCAAUUUGAGGCUAUGAUAGCUGAGAUAACCAGAAGAAUGCAAAAUACUUACAACCGUGUUCAACAAGCUAAUGAAACUUUACCUGGUGAUAAUGCAGGGCAAGAGAGGGACGCGGUUGCUGCUGGAGUUCAGAGAGCACGCAUUGGACCUAUAAGAGGGCAACGAGUUGAGCUUAGGGGUCGUGGGAUUUAUGGAGAACAUUAUCAAGAAGAUUCAGCUGAUGAAAGUGAUGAUGGAUCUCAGGCUAGUCAUCAUGGUAGAAAUCACAACCGCAGGCGACCAGCUACUGAUAACCUAGGCAAUCUC